GUUUUACUUGGCGAACGGUUGUGAUUAUUUUCGAAUGCGGUUUUAAAGAAGAUUGAAAGUUUUGAAAAGACGUAAAUAGAAAAUAUAAUUUCAGUGGAAAUUGAAAAAAAUAAAAAAAUCGUUAAGAUGUUGUAAUGAUCAACAAUAAAGGAGUAUUCAAUCGUAUAUUGAUCAUAUCUUAAAGAGAUGAUUUUAUGAUUUGAAAGUCCAAAAUAGCAAACAACUUGUACAACAUAAUGAAUAACAAACACUAUGAGAUAACAACAACUAAUCUUUCACAAAAGGACACCUUCAAAGAUCAUAUGUUUGUAAUUGAACUAAAAACGGGUGUAUAAGGCUUCCCUGGAUAUUUGCUUUCACUCAAGGAUGACCUCCAGAAAUAUAAGUUUAUAAUUCAACUAAUAAUGGUUAUAUAAAGGUUCCCUGGAUAUUGGCUGUCACACAAGGAUGACUUCCAAGAAUAUAAUUGAACUAUAAAGGUUGUAUAAAGAUUCCCUGUGAAUAUCAACUAAUUUGUUUAAAACAGAAUGAAUGCUGAAAUAGCUUAAGAAUGUGAAACCUAUGAUAUUCAACAAUAAAGUAAAAAUUUAGCAAAUCCAUUUAGAAAAUGAAAAACUUGUAAACGAUUAAGUGUAAUUCUGUAUAAUAAAAAAGUUUACAUUAAAAUUGAAAACCUUACAGUAAAAU
rnacentral:lncRNA from 1 species